rfam:Salmo salar isolate Sally breed double haploid chromosome ssa18, whole genome shotgun sequence.
UCCUGUGUGGCUCAGUGGGUAGAGCAUGGUGUUUGCAACACCAGGGUUGUGGGUUUGAUUCCCCCGGGGGAC